AUUUCAACAUUAAAUUUUGGUUGCACUACUAUGAUUUUGAUGACAAUAUCAAAAGUCUAAACACACCUCCUAGUUUAAAAGACCUACAAGAAAUAUUAUGUAAAAACUGUAUUCCUAAUGUUUUAAAUGCGAAAUAUGUUUUUCUAUUUUAGUCUGGCUAAGUUUUACUUUCUUCCCUGAGAGAAAGAAUAUGGAACAGCUGUAUGAUCUACGCAAUAGUUGAUGCAAAACUACAUCGAAUCUCCAUGCUAUUUGCCAUAUCUUUGUCAACUGAUAUCAGUAAAAGCGCCAUGACUUGGUUUCUCAAACAUACAAGUGAGAUCACUCUCCUCAUGGGCAACCUUCAACAUGCUGGAAGACCAACAGAGUGCAGUGGAAGAAGUCCUAGAAGAAACUCUGUGAAGAAUUCCUGUGACAAGUAUGCUGAAGAUUUUGACCCAUGGACUGAGAACAAAAUGCAACUUCAGUUUUGUCUCCCUCUGGUUGUAACUGUCUUGACCUGUAAUGAUUAAAUGUUUUUUACUUUGACUGGUGCCAUCCCAAAUGGACUGUCCUUGCUGGCCUUGAGGGAUGGUAACAUUCAACUGGUUUUUUUCGUCCCCACUUUUGAUCUCUGCAGAGGUUCUCUGAUAAUCCCAUAACUUAAGAAAAAAAAGGAGAAUGAACCUCUAUUCUAAGUAAUGGCUGAGUGCUGCAUCUUUAGCUGUUGGCAUUCCACAUUGCAACUUCUUCUUUCUGCUGAUGCCCCUUGAGGUAGCCCUGUGACACAGGAUCCAAA
rnacentral:lncRNA from 1 species